GUCUAUGAGGUGGAGGAGGAGCAGCAAUAAAAAAAUUGUAAAACAAAGAGCAAUAUUUACUCAUAAUAGUUACUCCUUCCUUCCAGCAGAGACUAGCUUCUGAACCGCUAAACGUUAUAUUGGAAUUUCAAAA